rnacentral:rRNA from 1 species
AGAGUUUGAUCAUGGCUCAGGAUGAACGCUAGCGGCAGGCUUAACACAUGCAAGUCGAGGGGCAGCGGGUUGUAGCAAUACAAUGCCGGCGACCGGCGAAAGGGUGAGUAACGCGUGAGCAACAUGCCCGAUACUGGAGGAUAGUCGAUGGAAACGUCGCGUAAUACUCCGUAACAACAGAGACCGCAUGGUUUUUGUUUAAUAGAUUUAUCGGUAUCGGAUUGGCUCGCGUCCCAUUAGGCAGUUGGCGGGGUAACGGCCCACCAAACCGACGAUGGGUAGGGGUUCUGAGAGGAAGGUCCCCCACAUUGGAACUGAGACACGGUCCAGACUCCUACGGGAGGCAGCAGUGAGGAAUAUUGGUCAAUGGCCGAGAGGCUGAACCAGCCAUGCCGCGUGCGGGAGGACGGCCCUAUGGGUUGUAAACCGCUUUUGUUGGGGAGCAAUAAGGAGCACGUGUGCUUCGAUGAGAGUACCCAGCGAAUAAGCAUCGGCUAACUCCGUGCCAGCAGCCGCGGUAAUACGGAGGAUGCAAGCGUUAUCCGGAUUUAUUGGGUUUAAAGGGUGCGUAGGCGGAGCUUUAAGCGUGAGGUGAAAUGCCACGGCUCAACCGUGGAACUGCCUCGCGAACUGGAGUUCUGGAAUGCCCCUGCCGUGGGAGGAAUGUGUGGUGUAGCGGUGAAAUGCAUAGAGAUCACACAGAACACCGAUUGCGAAGGCAUCUCACGAAGGGGUGAUUGACGCUGAGGCACGAAAGCGUGGGGAUCAAACAGGAUUAGAUACCCUGGUAGUCCGCACAGUAAACGAUGGAUGCUCGCGGUUCGGCCGUUAUGGUUGUGCCGCUUAGCGAAAGCGUUAAGCAUCCCACCUGGGGAGUACGCCGGCAACGGUGAAACUCAAAGGAAUUGACGGGGGCCCGCACAAGCGGAGGAACAUGUGGUUUAAUUCGAUGAUACGCGAGGAACCUUACCCGGGCUUGAAAUGUACCUGACGGGAGGCAGAGACGCCUUCUUUCUUCGGACAGGUAUGUAGGUGCUGCAUGGUUGUCGUCAGCUCGUGCCGUGAGGUGUCGGCUUAAGUGCCAUAACGAGCGCAACCCUUCCCGCCGGUUACCAUCAUUAGGUUGGGGACUCCGGCGGCACUGCCACCGCAAGGUGUGAGGAAGGCGGGGAUGACGUCAAAUCAGCACGGCCCUUACGUCCGGGGCCACACACGUGUUACAAUGGGGGGCACAGAAAGCUGGAUGCCGGCGACGGCAUUCGAAUCAUUAAAUCCCCUCCCAGUUCGGACUGGAGUCUGCAACCCGACUCCACGAAGCUGGAUUCGCUAGUAAUCGCGCAUCAGCCAUGGCGCGGUGAAUACGUUCCCGGGCCUUGUACACACCGCCCGUCAAGCCAUGAAAGUCGGGGGCGCCUGAAGUCCGUAGCAGCAAUGCGCGGCCUAGGGCGAUACCGGUGAUUGGGGCUAAGUCGUAACAAGGUAGCC